rnacentral:rRNA from 1 species
GACGAACGCUGGCGGCGUGCUUAACACAUGCAAGUCGAGCGGUAAGGCCCUUUCGGGGGUACACGAGCGGCGAACGGGUGAGUAACACGUGGGUGACCUGCCCUCAGCUCUGGGAUAAGCCUGGGAAACUGGGUCUAAUACUGGAUAUGACUCCACGGUGCAUGUCGUGGGGUGGAAAGCCUUGUGCGGCUGAGGAUGGGCCCGCGGCCUAUCAGCUUGUUGGUGGGGNGAUGGCCUACCAAGGCGACGACGGGUAGCCGGCCUGAGAGGGCGACCGGCCACACUGGGACUGAGACACGGCCCAGACUCCUACGGGAGGCAGCAGUGGGGAAUCUUGCGCAAUGGGCGAAAGCCUGACGCAGCGACGCCGCGGUGAGGGAU